rnacentral:misc_RNA from 1 species
UAUAUAACAGAUCAAUAACUCAACAAAUUUACUGACUUAAUAUGUUGAUACAAGGUUCAUAAACUAAUCCUGCUGGAUUUUCAAUAUGUUGGCAAGUAGAGAUCCCGAAAGGCAAUAAAGUACCAAAAGCAGAUAUGCAAGAUGCCUGAAGGCCUAUGUAAACACAAGAAAUAGUAAAAUUCUGAAAACUCACAGUAGCUAGAAUAUUCCUGCCCGACAAGUAGCUCACAGCAAAACUAUGCGUUUUUCUUAUCUUUUAAUGGCCCUAUGGGAAUUUUACUCAAAACUUUGGCAUCAAAGACAGCGUACUGUUUCUUGAUCUCCUGCACUGCUUUCUCAGCUAAAGGAUCUACUUUAUCUUCGUACUUCUCGUAAAGAACAGGAACUGUAUGGAGGAGUACGAAUAAUAUGUAGAACAAUGUCAGAAAGUUGCAGCAAUUGCCGACAACUGAGAGGAUCCAUAAACCAGUAACGACAGCAAGGAACUUUUUCGGAUCUUUCCCAGUUGCGAUUUCUCGCAACAUACUAAGAGCACGGUUAAUUUCAAUACUCAGAGCAGAAGCAAUCUCUAGUAUUGGCUCCUCCGGAAGCUGAACUUCUGGGAUGUGUGGACGUUUCUUGUUAAUAAAGGUUGUCGCAUUGGACCACAAGAAUAAGACAGCAAGGGUGAAGAUCAACAAGUGACAGACUAGACCAACCAGGAAGUACUCGAGCAAUUCAAAAAGAACCCAUAUUGCAGUUGCUCCACCAAGUACACUAGCAGAUAUCUUCUUGUUCCUCCACAAGAAUACAUCAGCAGGUUUGCCUCCACCAAAAACAUGGUGAACCGGCUUCUCUCUUCCGAACAGCCGCCAAAUCUUAGCCUUUACCGACGACGGCGACGCUUCCGGUGCGGCAGCAGGUUUCACCUCGGAAUCGGAAUCCGACGAGGAGGAGGAAGAGGAACGGUCGAAGUGAAUCUUAUCUGCUAUUUUCUCCAUGAACGAUUCUUCUUUGUGCUCUGAGUGUUGCUCAACUUGCUCAGCCAUUUUCAGUGUGGAUCGGAGCUCCG